UGGGACUCAGACACGGCCCUAACUCCUACGGGAGGCAGCAGAUGGGAAUCUUCGGCAAUCGACGAAAGUCGGACCGACCAACGCCGCGUGACUGAAGCAUGUGUUCGGAACCUGAAACUCCAACGUUGGAGAAGAACACGGCUUCGAGUGACGGCUCAUCCCUCGACGGCAUCUAACCAGAACGCGACGACUAACUAGGUGCCAGAAGCCGCGGGAAUCCGGAGGGGGCAAGCGAUGUCCGGAUUUAUAGGGCGUAAAGAGAGCGCAGGCGGAUUCUUUACUCUGAUACGCAAGGCCCCAGGUAGAACGGGGAGGGUCAUUGGAAACUUGGAGACUUGCGCGGUGCAAAGGGGAGGGGGAAUUCAGAGUAAGCGGAGCCAAGCGACGAUAGAUGGAGGGAGAACCGGGGCGGAGCGGGACAGCUCGUCUGUGACUGGAGCUGAGGCACGGGACAGGGGGGGGGACACGG
rnacentral:rRNA from 1 species